rnacentral:rRNA from 1 species
UACGGGAGGCAGCAGGGGGGAAUCUUGCGCAAUGCGCGAAAGCGUGACGCAGCAACGCCGCGUGGGGGAAGACGGCCUUCGGGUUGUAAACCCCUUUCAGUUGGGACGAAGCCCGGUCGGUGAAUAGCCGCGCCGGGUGACGGUACCUUCAGAAGAAGCCCCGGCCAACUACGUGCCAGCAGCCGCGGUAAUACGUAGGGGGCAAGCGUUGUCCGGAAUCAUUGGGCGUAAAGCGCGUGUAGGCGGCUCGGUAAGUCCGCUCUGAAAGCCCGGGGCUCAACCCCGGGAGGCGGGCGGAUACUGCUGAGCUCGAGUCCGGAAGAGGCGAGUGGAAUUCCUGGUGUAGCGGUGAAAUGCGCAGAUAUCAGGAGGAACACCAAUUGCGAAGGCAGCUCGCUGGGACGGUACUGACGCUGAGACGCGAAAGCGUGGGGAGCGAACAGGAUUAGAUACCCUGGUAGUCCACGCCGUAAACGAUGGACACUAGGUGUGGGAGGUGUCGACUCCUCCCGUGCCGAAGCUAACGCAUUAA